UAGCUCAGUUGGUAGAGCAUGGUGUUUGCAACACCAGGGUUGUGGGUUCGAUAACCAC
rnacentral:tRNA from 1 species